rnacentral:rRNA from 1 species
UAUUGGACAAUGGGCGCAAGCCUGAUCCAGCAAUGCCGCGUGUGUGAAGAAGGCCUGCGGGUUGUAAAGCACUUUCAGUUGGGAGGAAGGAGUUGUGGUUAAUAGCCAUGACUAUUGACGUUACCGACAGAAGAAGCACCGGCUAACUCUGUGCCAGCAGCCGCGGUAAUACAGAGGGUGCGAGCGUUAAUCGGAAUUACUAGGCGUAAAGGGUGCGUAGGUGGUCUUUUAAGUCAGAUGUGAAAACCCUGGGCUUAACCUAGGAAUGGCAUUUGAAACUGGGAGACUAGAGUUCGGAAGAGGAAAGUGGAAUUUCAGGUGUAGCGGUGAAAUGCGUAGAUAUCUGAAGGAACAUCAGUGGCGAAGGCGACUUUCUGGUCCGAUACUGACACUGAGGCACGAAAGCGUGGGGAGCAAACA